AUUGUAUUUUCAAAAAGAAAGCUGAGACUAGUGAGAUAAAGAAGCUUUCCUGUGGUUGCACAAACUCCUUUGGAUUGCUUUAAAUUCACCUCCCAGAGUGAAUUCAUCCUCUAAUUCUCUGGAGAACUGAUUCUGAAGGAAAUAAGUAAGGUUUCUAUUACCUGAGGAGAGAACUCCUCAGUGCUGCUCUAGACACUUGGAUGGACCUGCUUUUCUGUGGAGAACACUAAGUGCACCAGAAAAAUGCUGGAUCUGCAAGAUCUGCCCCUUAGAUGGCAUUUUCCUCCCCUCAUGUCAGGAAAAUUGUAUUUACA